UAUCAAUAUCACCUUGAUUAUAGUUUUAAUUAAUUUACAGGAUAAUCUAAUAGUGGCACAUAACCAACAUGGGUGAUGAUGGUUGAGAUCUCUUUAUUUUUAAUUAAAUGUCUCGAAUUUAAGCCAAUGAAAAUGACAAAAAAUCCUGUUGGAAGUGCCGCGAUCACUAUAAAUGAGCCCAGCAAAGUGCUAAUAUCCAUUUAAUUGCAUGGUUUGCGCUUUAUAUGAACUGGUCUUUAAUUUUGCCCUUAGCAAUCAAACUCAUGCUUUAGCGGGGCAUAAGUUCCUUAAGGGCGUAGAGCAUAAUUUGUGGGAUAUUGUGAUACGAAAGUAUAAAUUUAUACACUUUCAAAAAGCCGUCAUUUGCCUUGAGAGGCAAAAGUUAAAGACUAGCAUAAAAUAGGAGCAAAAAUAUAAAUGAUCCACCAAAUUUAGCCCGACCUCGAUAUGAACAUCAGACACCGAACGUGAAGAAACAAAAAUAAUGUAGCACAUAAAUUUAUACCCUUUUAAAAAGUAGUCAUUUGCCUUGAGAGGCAAAAGUUAAAGACCAGCAUAAAAUAGGAGCAAAAAAACAAAUGAUCCACCAAAUUUAGCCCAACCUCGAUAUGAACAUCAGACACCGAACGUGAAGAAACAAAAACAAUGUAGCACAUAAAUUUAUACCCUUUUAGAAAGUCGUCAUUUGCCUAGAGAGACAAAAGUUAAAAACCAGCAUAAAAUAGGAUCAAAAAUACAAAUGAUCCAUCAAAUUUAGCCCGACCUCGAUAUGAAUAUCAGACACCACCGAACGUGAAGAAACAAAAACAAUGUAGUACAUAAGACUAGUGCAUAUGUGGAGACCAUAUUAAUCCUUUCUGAUUCACAAACUAUUCAAUCUCCACUUGAAAUCAUGUAUGUUAUAAGUAAGGUGACGAUUAUUUUUUGUUAUAUUACAAUAAUUGAAUUUAAGUAUGAAUUAUUAUAAUGGGGUAAAGUUUGAUCAUAUUCGUGAAAUUAAUUCUAUAACAUGAUAGUUGUUAUUCUUUUGACAUGAUAGUUUUAUUAUAUUAUUAAUUGCAGUUG
rnacentral:lncRNA from 1 species